UGGGGGAUAUUGCACAAUGGGCGAAAGCCUGAUGCAGCGACGCCGCGUGGGGGAUGAAGGCCUUCGGGUUGUAAACUUCUUUUGCUCUGAACAAGGCAUGCUAAUGGGUGUGUUGAGUGUAGGGGUUGAUUAGCGCCGGCUAACUACGUGCCAGCAGCCGCGGUAAUACGUAGGGCGCGAGCGUUGUCCGGAAUUAUUGGGCGUAAAGGGCUUGUAGGUGGCUGGUUGCGUCUGUCGUGAAAGCUCAUGGCUUAACUGUGGGUUUGCGGUGGGUACUGGCUGGCUUGAGUGCAGUAGGGGAAGCUGGAAUUCCUGGUGUAGCGGUGGAAUGCGCAGAUAUCAGGAGGAAUACCGGUGGCGAAGGCGGGUCUCUGGGCUGUUACUGACACUGAGGAGCGAAAGCAUGGGGAGCGAACAGG
rnacentral:rRNA from 1 species